UGGGGAAUAUUGGACAAUGGGCGCAAGCCUGAUCCAGCCAUGCCGCGUGUGUGAAGAAGGCCUUUUGGUUGUAAAGCACUUUAAGCGAGGAGGAGGCUACUUGGAUUAAUACUCUAGGAUAGUGGACGUUACUCGCAGAAUAAGCACCGGCUAACUCUGUGCCAGCAGCCGCGGUAAUACAGAGGGUGCGAGCGUUAAUCGGAUUUACUGGGCGUAAAGCGUGCGUAGGCGGCUUCUUAAGUCGGAUGUGAAAUCCUUGAGCUUAACUUAGGAAUUGCAUUCGAUACUGGGAAGCUAGAGUAUGGGAGAGGAUGGUAGAAUUCCAGGUGUAGCGGUGAAAUGCGUAGAGAUCUGGAGGAAUACCGAUGGCGAAGGCAGCCAUCUGGCCUAAUACUGACGCUGAGGUACGAAAGCAUGGGGAGCAAACAGG
rnacentral:rRNA from 1 species